rnacentral:rRNA from 1 species
AUUGAACGCUGGCGGCAGGCCUAACACAUGCAAGUCGAACGAGCGGCGGACGGGUGAGUAAUUUCUGGGAAACUGCCUGAUGGAGGGGGAUAACUACUGGAAACGGUAGCUAAUAACGCAUACCUUCAGAUGAGACCCGAUGGGCUUAGCUAGUUGGUGGGGGAACGGCUCACCCAGGCGACGAUCCCUAGCUGGUCUGAGAGGAUGACCAGCCACACUGGAACUGAGACACGGCCCAGACUCCUACGGGAGGCAGCAGUGGGGAAUAUUGCACAAUGGGCGCAAGCCUGAUGCAGCCAUGCCGCGUGUAUGAAGAAGGCCUUAGGGUUGUAAAGUACUUUCAGCGGGGAGGCGUUACCCGCAGAAGAAGCACCGGCUAACUCCGUGCCAGCAGCCGCGGUAAUAC